AAGCCCCUUCUCACUAGCCUCUCAGAAUCCCAGGUAAACAGCCAAGGCUGUAUUGAAGAAGUCCAAGAAGAUAAAAAUAACUGUCAUAUAUAUGGAAUCUUCAACUGACAACUCCCAGUUUCGAGAACUACCUGAUGCCACACAAGGAUGUCUGCUGAAAUAGAAAUGUCCUGUAUUGGAGAAAUGGCCAAGUAUGAAGACUAGAGCCCAGAUGUUCAAGUGUAUGAAGGUCUGAAAGAAUUGGACAGUGAGCACUUCUGCAGCUGGAUUCACCAAUCAUCAACAGUUUAGCUGACUCAUCUGAAGUGAUAAGAACAGACAAGUCACUAAUCUGCUUUGAGAAGACGACUGGAAGAAAGGGAUAUGAAAGAGGCUGGCACAUAGCUGGUCCUCAGAUUUAAUAUCUAGAUAAUUGCUUUUACUUGGCAUGAUGAAGGAAACACUGCCAGCCCAGUUUCAAAGAUCUCCACCUACAAUGACAACAGCGGCGACAAAUGCCCUCUACUUGGCUGAGUUCAUUUAUUGAGCUUCAGAAACCAAAUUUUAAAUUUGAGAUUUGCCAACUUGGAAUCCAAGAAGUCUUCACUUUUAUUUUCCUGGAUGGAGGUUUAUUCUUCAUCUAUGAGAAGAUACCUUACUGUUCUCACACAAGUAAAGUGUCCAAAUUGCAUCUAAGGUGAUGCUAUUGAUACUGUGCCUUUUUAAAUGCCUUGAUCUGGGGUAUAAACAUAUGAAUUCUUACCCAGCAAAACUUCACUAUAGUGAGUAGGACAAGACUUAUACCAUCAAUUGUAGUUAAGGCUUUUACAGCAAAAAAUACUAGUGGGAAUUAUUUUAUUGUAUUCAGUUGAAAUUUACAUAUUCUUGAGUAUCCAAGCUAACUGUAAAAAGUUGAACUUUCUAAUUAAUUCCAACAGAUUUUCUCAAAAACCUUCCUAUUGAUAGAAAAAAAAACUGUCAUGUGCUAGUGUUUCAAAACUUAUCAUUAAUGGCAAUGUUUUGAAAAAUUAUAGCAGAAUGUCUUGCACAUGACAGUUAAUUAUUAUCCAUGUUGCUAUCAAAAGACACAGACUGAAGAUGGAACUUUAGAUCAAAUUCUUGAGAAACUGAAUUAUUCACUACAUCACGUUAGGUUGAAUUAAUACCUCUUAUGUGAAAAAAUAAGGUUGGCUUUUUCACAUCAUUUCCUGAAUCAAAUUUUGCAAAUAUUAAAAUUUAAAUGAUUAUAGAAAAAGAAAGGACUAUAUACUUCAUUUUCAAUCAAUUAGCAUACCUUAACACAAGUUAUUUGGUAAACAUUAGAUACAUUUGCUACAAAGAAAAAUCUUUUUUAAAAUUAGUGUGAGUGUGUGUGUGUCUGUGUGUGGGUUAUGUGUGUGUAGAUACCUGCCGAGACUGGAAAAGGCAUGGUUUCUCCAGAGCUAGAGUGAUAGUCAGUUGUGGUUCCACCCAACAUGGGUGCUGGGAAUCAAACUCAAGUACUCUGCAAGCAGGCUCAACAUCAAAGCCCUAGAAAGGGAUUUUUAAGCAGGACAUCUAUGGAACAACAACUAAAAGAUUUCAUUCUGUUUAAUAAAAACAUGAAUUGCAAAUUCACUGUGAGAAAAUGUCAGACACAUAAUAGCUGGGUGAUGUUCAAAAUACUUCACUUGCUAAAUGAUCAAGUACUUGGAAGUAGAAGUGUUAAAAUUUCAGUAAGAAAAUGAUAAGCACUCCAUUGAGAUAUUGGUCAGGACUCUUACAAAAAUGGACGCAGUUAACAAAUAAAACAAACAAUCAAAAUAACUGCUUAAAACCUUUUCUCUUGUUGAUUGUCAGGACUGUAUGUUGGGCAAGUGGCCGUGUGUGUGUGUGUGUGUGUGUGUGUGUGUGUCUGUGUUGGCACAACAUGAUAUCUGCUCUUCCAAAUGACAUUCUUUGACCAAGGCCUUUCACUUUUAAGAAAGAAUCUCCUAGGUGCCAAAAUAAGGGAAAAAGACAAAAAUAUAGGUCCAAGGAUACACAUGAUAAUAAUAUGCUUCUCAGCAGAAGUUUGAAAAAUAAUAUUUUACAGAAAUCCUGGAUUGUUUAUAAAAUAUAAAGAAAGUCAUAUGGAGAAUUAUUCUAACACUAAAUGUAAUUUCCAGAACUAAAUAACAUGAAAAUUUAUUCAUUUUAUAAUUUCAACCAAAAAACCUAGUUGUUAACCAAUGUAAAUGGCAUGAUUUCAUACAUGUAUCUAUAUGAUGUCUAAAUGGGAAUUCACUCCUCUUUUACACACAGAUACAUUCAUAAAAAAUCAACUCAAGUGUUUGAGAAUUCUCCUUCUUGUGUUUUUGCAUUUUCCAUUUGACCUCAACUGAUCGCAUAUUGAUUUUCAAAACCUGUUCUUAUUUUGCUUUACUGAUUAUAAUCUUUUUAAACAUUAUUUUAUUUAUACUUAUGUGUACAUUUUUCUGUGUAUAUGCAUGUCAUGUGUAUGCAGGUGUCUGUGGAUGCCUGAAGAGGGUGUUGGGUAAGUUGGAGUUGAGGGGGUUGUGACCUUCCCCAUGUAGGUGUUGGAAAUGGAACAGUGGUCCUCUUAAGCAUCAACAAGUGCUCGUAAAUGCUGAGUCAGCUCUCCAGCCCUUUGGCUAUGAUUGUAGUAUGUCACUUUUUUCCCAAGGAAAAUGCCUACAUACCAUAAACAAGAACUUAUUAAACAUGGAAAGAUUGUGAGCAAAUAUUUAGCUCAUAAUUC